rnacentral:rRNA from 1 species
UACGUAGGCAGCGAGCGUUGUUCGGAAUUACUGGGCGUAAAGAGUGUGUAGGCGGUGCUCUAAGUUCGGUGUGAAAUCUCCUGGCUCAACUGGGAGGGUGCGCCGGAAACUGGAGUGCUUGAGCGUGGGAGAGGAAAGCGGAAUUCCUGGUGUAGCGGUGAAAUGCGUAGAUAUCGGAAGGAACACCUGUGGCGAAAGCGGCUCACUGGACCAUUACUGACGCUGAGGCACGAAAGCUAGGGGAGCAAACAGG